UCUAGUCGGGUAACCACUGCGAACUUGGUAGGCGGAGAGGCCGAAGUACAUGCACAUAAAGAUGUACAUGAAGAUUGCUGGGAUGUUCUUAAAAAAUGGUCUGGAAGGCAAAAAAAGCUGUCAUUACAGUGGCGAGAUCCUGGUACCAACCUCAGGCGAAGAGAAGGCAGACCAGCUGAAAAGUAUGAUGAUGAAGAUGAUAAACUGACAGGCGAACAUGAUGGCGUAGACAUCCACCGCGCCAGACCCCACCUCGGGGUCGUAGAUACGAUUCAGGAACGCCUUCACAGAACGGCAAAUCCUGCAAAUAACAUUACUUGCAUUCAAA